rnacentral:rRNA from 1 species
UUCGGGAAACCGGAGCUAAUACCGGAUGACACUGAGGAACUCCUGUUCCUUAGUUGAAAGAUGGCUUCGGCUAUCACUUAUAGAUGGGCCCGCGGCGCAUUAGCUAGUUGGUGAGGUAACGGCUCACCAAGGCGACGAUGCGUAGCCGACCUGAGAGGGUGAUCGGCCACACUGGGACUGAGACACGGCCCAGACUCCUACGGGAGGCAGCAGUAGGGAAUCUUCCGCAAUGGACGAAAGUCUGACGGAGCAACGCCGCGUGAACGAUGAAGGCCUUCGGGUCGUAAAGUUCUGUUGUUAGGGAAGAACAAGUGCUAGUUAAAUAAGCUGGCACCUUGACGGUACCUAACCAGAAAGCCACGGCUAACUACGUGCCAGCAGCCGCGGUAAUACGUAGGUGGCAAGCGUUGUCCGGAAUUAUUGGGCGUAAAGCGCGCGCAGGCGGUUUCAUAAGUCUGAUGUGAAAGCCCCCGGCUCAACCGGGGAGGGUCAUUGGAAACUGGGAAACUUGAGUGCAGAAGAGGAAAGUGGAAUUCCAAGUGUAGCGGUGAAAUGCGUAGAGAUUUGGAGGAACACCAGUGGCGAAGGCGACUUUCUGGGUCUGUAACUGACSCUGAGGCGCGAAAGCGUGGGGAGCAAACAGGAUUA